GACGAACGCUGGCGGCGUGCUUAACACAUGCAAGUCGAACGGAAAGGCCCUGCUUUUGUGGGGUGCUCGAGUGGCGAACGGGUGAGUAACACGUGAGUAACCUGCCCUUGACUUUGGGAUAACUUCAGGAAACUGGGGCUAAUACCGGAUAGGAGCUCCUGCUGCAUGGUGGGGGUUGGAAAGUUUCGGCGGUUGGGGAUGGACUCGCGGCUUUUCAGCUUGUUGGUGGGGUAGUGGCUUACCAAGGCUUUGACGGGUAGCCGGCCUGAGAGGGUGACCGGCCACAUUGGGACUGAGAUACGGCCCAGACUCCUACGGGAGGCAGCAGGGGGGAAUAUUGCACAAUGGGCGGGAGCCUGAUGCAGCAACGCCGCGUGCGGGAUGACGGCCUUCGGGUUGUAAACCGCUUUCGCCUGUGACGAAGCGUGAGUGACGGUAAUGGGUAAAGAAGCACCGGCUAACUACGUG
rnacentral:rRNA from 1 species